rnacentral:tRNA from 1 species
UCCCUGGAGGACUAGUGGUUAGGCCACAGCGCUCUCACUGCUGCUGCCCAAGUUAGAUUCCCCGCCAGGGAA